rnacentral:rRNA from 1 species
AUAUCAAUAAGCGGAGGAAAAGGAACCAACAGGGAUUGCCCUAGUAACGGCGAGUGAAGCGGCAAUGGCUCAAAUUUGAAAUCUGACUCCCUUGGGGUCCGAAUUGUAAUUUGCAGAGGAAGCUUCGGUGAAGAUACCGGCCCAAGUCCCCUGGAACGGGACGUCACAGAGGGUGAGAACCCCGUCAGGCCAUGUGUCCCAAAACC